rnacentral:lncRNA from 1 species
CAACGUCAAUGAUUUCUGUUUUCCAUAGGAGUGAUGUUUGGCUAGAUUUGGAACCUUUCACACCAAAUCUGGAAACUUCUUAUGUCAAGAUUGUGAUCCAGUUUUUGAAACUCUUGCAAAGACAUAAUCUAUUGGAGAGCUGCAAAGACUACAAAUUGUCUGGGGAGAAAAAGAGGACAAUCAAAAUCGUUCCUGAUGACUUUGGCAUGGUAUAUCCUAUUUAUGUAUUUGGAUGUCUUCAAGUCAAAGACACCACAAGAAGAUUUAUAAUGAUGACUUAGUCUCAGGAUAAACUGUCGAAGAGGAAAAAGGAUAUACAAGAACUAUCACGACUUUACGGAGAACCAUGUAGAGGGAAAAACAUCAUCUACCAAGUCUUUUUGCUUCCACUAGAAAUGCAG